AGCGAACGCUGGCGGCAGGCUUAACACAUGCAAGUCGAGCGGGCACUUCGGUGUCAGCGGCAGACGGGUGAGUAACACGUGGGAACGUACCCUUCGGUUCGGAAUAACGCUGGGAACCUAGCGCUAAUACCGGAUACGCCCUUUUGGGGAAAGGUUUACUGCCGAAGGAUCGGCCCGCGUCUGAUUAGCUAGUUGGUGGGGUAAUGGCCUACCAAGGCGACGAUCAGUAGCUGGUCUGAGAGGAUGAUCAGCCACACUGGGACUGAGACACGGCCCAGACUCCUACGGGAGGCAGCAGUGGGGAAUAUUGGACAAUGGGCGCAAGCCUGAUCCAGCCAUGCCGCGUGAGUGAUGAAGGCCUUAGGGUUGUAAAGCUCUUUUGUCCGGGACGAUAAUGACGGUACCGGAAGAAUAAGCCCCGGCUAACUUCGUG
rnacentral:rRNA from 1 species